rnacentral:rRNA from 1 species
UACGAAGGGUGCAAGCGUUACUCGGAAUUACUGGGCGUAAAGCGUGCGUAGGUGCUUCGUUAAGUCUGAUGUGAAAGCCCUGGGCUCAACCUGGGAAUGGCAUUGGAUACUGGCGACCUAGAGUGCGGUAGAGGGGUGUGGAAUUCCCGGUGUAGCAGUGAAAUGCGUAGAUAUCGGGAGGAACAUCUGUGGCGAAGGCGACACCCUGGACCAGCACUGACACUGAGGCACGAAAGCGUGGGGAGCAAACAGG